rnacentral:rRNA from 1 species
UACGGAGGGUGCGAGCGUUGUCCGGAAUCAUUGGGCGUAAAGGGCUCGUAGGCGGCCAACUAAGUCAGACGUGAAAUCCCUCGGCUUAACCGGGGAACUGCAUCUGAUACUGGAUGGCUUGAGAUUGGGAGAGGGAUGCGGAAUUCCAGGUGUAGCGGUGAAAUGCGUAGAUAUCUGGAGGAACACCGGUGGCGAAGGCGGCAUCCUGGACCAACACUGACGCUGAGGAGCGAAAGCCAGGGGAGCAAACGGG